rnacentral:rRNA from 1 species
UACAGGGGGUGCAAACGUUGCUCGGAAUCAUUGGGCGUAAAGCGCACGUAGGCGGUUCGUUAUGUCGGAUGUGAAAGCCCUUGGCUUAACCGAGGAAGUGCAUCCGAAACUGGCGAGCUAGAGUACGAAAGAGGAUCGCGGAAUUCCCGGUGUAGAGGUGAAAUUCGUAGAUAUUGGGAGGAACACCGGUGGCGAAGGCGGCCAUCUGGGCUACAACUGACGCUGAGGCGCGAGAGCGUGGGGAGCAAACAGG